CCUACGGGUGGCAGCAGUGGGGAAUAUUGCACAAUGGGGGAAACCCUGAUGCAGCAACGCCGCGUGAGUGAUGACGGCCUUCGGGUUGUAAAGCUCUGUCUUCAGGGACGAUAAUGACGGUACCUGAGGAGGAAGCCACGGCUAACUACGUGCCAGCAGCCGCGGUAAUACGUGGGGGGCGAGCGUUGUCCGGAGUUACUGGGCGGAAAGGGAGCGGAGGGGGCCUGGGAAGUGAGAUGUGAAAUCCUCGGGCUCCACUUGAGGGCUGCAUGUCAAACUGGAAGUCUAGAGUGCAGGAGAGUAGACUGGCAUUCCUAGUGUAGCGGUGAAAUGCGUCGAGAUUAGGAAGAACACCCGUGGCGCCGGCGAUUCUCUGGACUGUAACUGCCGCUGAGGCUCGAAAGCGUGGGGAGCAAACAGGAUUAGAUACCCCAGUAGUC
rnacentral:rRNA from 1 species